rnacentral:tRNA from 1 species
GUCUGGCUGGCUCAGUAGGAAGAACAUGAGACUCUUGAUCUUAGAGUCAUGAGUUCAACCCUCAUGUUGGGUG